AUUUGUUUUGGAUUGCAGAAUGAAUACUUCUUCAGGUACAGGGAUGACCGGAAUGCAGCAGAAAUUUUCAGAGCUAAUGGUGAUAUUAAUGGACUUAAAUCACACUGUAAUAGUCACGUAAAUCGCACAGCCUGUCUUCAAUAUGUCUGCAGUUAAUAUAUCAUUUAGGAGUAGUGAGUUCUCAGCUAAAAUGCAGUUAAUAUGCAUGCCACUACUUUGUUAAAGCGAAGAUGCAUGCCACUUCAUCUAGAGCAAGUGAAUGGGGUAUGAGUUGGAUGCUUUAAGUCUCUGUUUGAUGUGAUGACUCAUGCUCAAUGUUCUUUUUUAGAGAGCAAUCAAGUGAAGAGUGGGUCAAUGGAUGCGGGCGGGUGGGGCGCGUGGAGGGGGAGGCUGCUGGAGCAGCGCCAAGGCAGGGGGAGCGGAGUCGAGGGGCAGGGGCGUGGGCGCAGACCUAGGAGAGGUAGCACGAGGGAUGAGGCAGAGCGUAGCCGCGGUAUCGCGAGCGCCCACUCUAGGUACUUAAUUAGUAGUAGGGAUGAAAGAAUAAACUUUUGACCAAAUUUAGAAAAUAAUUCUUUCGAGGCCCCAAAAGUUACACCUUGGAUUGGUUAGCAGCUUUAUAAAUAUUUUUGAGAUUGAUAACUACGAUGGUUAAUAGUGAAGUGUAUUGGGGUCACAUGACUAAAUUCAAGGAAUGCUAUUGAACAAAAUUAACAAGUCAAGACUGAAUUAGUUAAUUAUCUUGCCAAGCUUUUUUUCCUUUCUUUUUUUGUGUAAGUGCGUAAAGGUGUGUUACAUGAACUCUGGGAAACUUGCCUAAUAAUCUUCUCUUGCAAAAGAAAUUGCUUCUUAGUUCAAUUGAUAUAGUUAUUGAAACUCAUAUUCUGUUAAGCAAAUAUCUUGUUAUCUAAAGCAUUCCCACGGAGCCAUUCUAUUCUUCAAGUUGAUGACAAAUAUAAUUUAAGUUUUUUUCUAUUAGACCCUUACUUACUAUUCUGAAGGCAACUAGCUAUAUAUUAUUUCAAAGUUUUCUGUGUUCUUUGAAAACAUCUAUUAAUAUAUCUGUAUAUACUAAUGGAUCUUUAAAGUUUCAUAGUUCUGUUAGUGUGACUGUGCUCCCUUGUAAUUGUGGACUGCACCUUAUAUGAGCGGGGGAAGAGGGGGCGAGGGGAGUAGCGAUGGCGGAGGAAAUGGUGACCCAG
rnacentral:lncRNA from 1 species